GCCGCCCUGAGCGAGUCCAGUCCGGCCAGAGCGGCGAAGCAGAGGGAGUCGGCCUGGGCAGCUGCGGAGCCUGACCGCCCUCUCUGUCUGCAGUGUUUCCCUUUGCCAAGUCAUCUUGUGGGUACCACCUUCAAGCCCCAGAGCUAUGGCACAGAGUAUCUGUGAAGAUCUAUAGAGUGGAGGAGUCUGAAUCAUGAACCACUGCCUGGCUAGACACAUCCACAUUGGACUGCUAAGAGUGAGAUAUGACUUGUGUUGCUCCGACCAAACAGACCCGUGAGAGAUGUGUGUGAGAAACUCAAGGAAGCAGCCACCUACUUCGGAAGCUACUAAAUGCCAAUAUCACCUCAGCUAGUGAUUGGAUAUAUGUCCACCUCUCCAGACACACCCAGUUUCCAUGGUUUUUCUGAGGUUCCUAUUUGAAGUUGUGGCCAGACCAUUGGAAGAAGGUGUACCAUUUAAGCUAACCAAGUUGGAACCAUUUUGAGCAGCUGGUACCCAAAACUGGUCUUAUAGUAGUGCUAUCAGCAUCAUGCUGUCAAAUCAAACAGGUGGAGUCAUUGUUGUGAGGCCCAACCUUCUUCCUGGAAACAAAAACUUAAACAGUAUUUAUAUAGACAGAUUUUCAGCAAAAGCUAUAAUAAAGACAAAAAUAAGUA